AGGUGGCAAGCGUUAUCCGGAAUUAUUGGGCGUAAAGGGAGCGCAGGCGGCUUAUUAAGUCUGAGGUUAAAGUUCGGGGCUCAACCCCGUGAUGCCUUAGAAACUGGUAGGCUAGAGUGCAGGAGAGGUGAGUGGAAUUCCAUGUGUAGCGGUAAAAUGCGUAGAUAUAUGGAGGAACACCAGUGGCGAAGGCGGCUCACUGGCCUGUAACUGACGCUGAGGCUCGAAAGCGUGGGGAGCAA
rnacentral:rRNA from 1 species